GACGAACGCUGGCGGCGUGCCUAAUACAUGCAAGUUGAGCGCUGAAGGUUGGUACUUGUACCAACUGGAUGAGCAGCGAACGGGUGAGUAACGCGUGGGGAAUCUGCCUUUGAGCGGGGGACAACAUUUGGAAACGAAUGCUAAUACCGCAUAAAAACUUUAAACACAAGUUUUAAGUUUGAAAGAUGCAAUUGCAUCACUCAAAGAUGAUCCCGCGUUGUAUUAGCUAGUUGGUGAGGUAAAGGCUCACCAAGGCGAUGAUACAUAGCCGACCUGAGAGGGUGAUCGGCCACAUUGGGACUGAGACACGGCCCAAACUCCUACGGGAGGCAGCAGUAGGGAAUCUUCGGCAAUAGACGAAAGUCUGACCGAGCAACGCCGCGUGAGUGAAGAAGGUUGUCGGAUCGUAAAACUCUGUUGGUAGAGAAGAAAGUUGGUGAGAGUGGAAAGCUCAUCAAGUGACGGUAACUACACAGAAAGGGACGGCUAACUACGUG
rnacentral:rRNA from 1 species